UGGCUGAUGGUGUAAUGGUAACACAGAGGUUUUUGGUGCCUUUAUUCCAGGUUCGAGCCCUGGUCGGCCAA
rnacentral:tRNA from 1 species